GAGAUGGAUUAACUCCCCGUCCUUCGGUGGAUGUGUAUAACUGAACCGUCGUCCCCGCAACACCUGUCCCUAGUAUGUGCCUGUAGGUGCCCCUGGCGACGAACAGAGGAAGGAGCGGCGAUGGGUUCCUCGCAGACGGAGAUAAGCACGACGACGCUCGUGGGGCCUGUUUUUGGAUCUGAGACCUCGAGCGAUAUUCUGCGCUUGGAUUUCCAGCCAGAUCCAGACAUUUUUUGCAGCCAUACGGGCAUGCUUGAAUCCCUACGGGAGGUGACAAAGGACCACCCAGGCGGGACAUUUGCAGAUUCGUUAGAUUCUGUUGAUGUGCGUCCGGUGGAGGAGCAGAUUCAGAGGGCAGAAAACAAGUACGUUGCCCUUGAUGACGAAGUGGGAUGGGUUAGGAGAUAAAUAAAGAAGCCCAGGAGCUUUUAAAGCUUACAUUGUGCAAGACCCGAGUCAACCUGAUCGUGAAUACCAUUUUAAUCGGAUUUUUAUGGAUUCUAAUAGAUCAGACCCCUUUAAUGGUAAAGUUUGCUCAGUGAAGUACAUUUAGGUCUCUAUGUAGGAGCUUUUAAUCCAUAUGGACUUGAAGUCGUACAGCUCCAUCAAAAGUUUGGUCAUUAGAAUAGUACUCAUGA